AUUGAACGCUGGCGGCAGGCCUAACACAUGCAAGUCGAGCGGAUGAAGGGAGCUUGCUCCUGGAUUCAGCGGCGGACGGGUGAGUAAUGCCUAGGAAUCUGCCUGGUAGUGGGGGAUAACGUCCGGAAACGGGCGCUAAUACCGCAUACGUCCUGAGGGAGAAAGUGGGGGAUCUUCGGACCUCACGCUAUCAGAUGAGCCUAGGUCGGAUUAGCUAGUUGGUGGGGUAAAGGCCUACCAAGGCGACGAUCCGUAACUGGUCUGAGAGGGUGAUCAGUCACACUGGAACUGAGACACGGUCCAGACUCCUACGGGAGGCAGCAGUGGGGAAUAUUGGACAAUGGGCGAAAGCCUGAUCCAGCCAUGCCGCGUGUGUGAAGAAGGUCCUCGGAUUGUAAAGCACUUUAAGUUGGGAGGAAGGGCAGUAAGUUAAUACCUUGCUGUUUUGACGUUACCAACAGAAUAAGCACCGGCUAACUUCGUG
rnacentral:rRNA from 1 species